rnacentral:rRNA from 1 species
CAGUAGCCGCGGUAAUACGUAGGGUGCAAGCGUUGUCCGGAAUUAUUGGGCGUAAAGAGCUCGUAGGCGGUUUGUCGCGUCUGCUGUGAAAUCCCGAGGCUCAACCUCGGGCUUGCAGUGGGUACGGGCAGACUAGAGUGCGGUAGGGGAGAUUGGAAUUCCUGGUGUAGCGGUGGAAUGCGCAGAUAUCAGGAGGAACACCGAUGGCGAAGGCAGAUCUCUGGGCCGUAACUGACGCUGAGGAGCGAAAGCAUGGGGAGCGAACAGGAUUAGAUACCCCUGUAGUCCCUGUCUCUUAUAA